GACGAACGCUGGCGGCGUGCCUAAUACAUGCAAGUAGAACGCUGAAGGAGGAGCUUGCUUCUCUGGAUGAGUUGCGAACGGGUGAGUAACGCGUAGGUAACCUGCCUGGUAGCGGGGGAUAACUAUUGGAAACGAUAGCUAAUACCGCAUAACAGUAGAUAUCGCAUGAUAUCUACUUGAAAGGUGCAAUUGCAUCACUACCAGAUGGCCCUGCGUUGUAUUAGCUAGUUGGUGAGGUAACGGCUCACCAAGGCGACGAUACAUAGCCGACCUGAGAGGGUGAUCGGCCACACUGGGACUGAGACACGGCCCAGACUCCUACGGGAGGCAGCAGUAGGGAAUCUUCGGCAAUGGACGGAAGUCUGACCGAGCAACGCCGCGUGAGUGAAGAAGGUUUUCGGAUCGGAAAGCUCUGUUGUAAGAGAAGAACGAGUGUGAGAGUGGAAAGUUCACACUGUGACGGUAUCUUACCAGAAAGGGACGGCUAACUACGUG
rnacentral:rRNA from 1 species